CCUACGUGUGACAGCAGUGAGGAAUAUUGGUCAAUGGGCGCGAGCCUGAACCAGCCAAGUAGCGUGAAGGAUGACUGCCCUACGGGUUGUAAACUUCUUUUAUAAAGGAAUAAAGUGAGGCACGUGUGCCUUUUUGUAUGUAUUUUAUGAAUAAGGAUCGGCUAACUCCGUGCCAGCAGUCGCGGUAAUACGGAGAGUCCGAGCGUUAUACGGAUUUAUUGGGUUUAAAGGGAGCGUAGAUGGGUUGUUAAGUCAGUUGUGAAAGUUUGCGGCUCAACCGUAAAAUUGCAAUUGAUACUGGCAGCCUUGAGUACAGUUGAGGUAGGCGGAAUUCGUGGUGUAGCGGUGAAAUGCUUAGAUAUCACGAAGAACUCCGAUUGCGAAGGCAGCCUACUAAACUGCCACUGACAUUGAUGCUCGAAAGUGUGGGUAUCAAACAGGAUUAGAUACCCCAGUAGUC
rnacentral:rRNA from 1 species